rnacentral:rRNA from 1 species
GACGAACGCUGGCGGCGUGCUUAACACAUGCAAGUCGAACGGAAAGGCCCUGCUUUUGUGGGGUGCUCGAGUGGCGAACGGGUGAGUAACACGUGAGUAACCUGCCCUUGACUUUGGGAUAACUUCAGGAAACUGGGGCUAAUACCGGAUAGGGGCUCCUGCUGCAUGGUGGGGGUUGGAAAGUUUCGGCGGUUGGGGAUGGACUCGCGGCUUAUCAGCUUGUUGGUGGGGUAGUGGCUUACCAAGGCUUUGACGGGUAGCCGGCCUGAGAGGGUGACCGGCCACAUUGGGACUGAGAUACGGCCCAGACUCCUACGGGAGGCAGCAGUGGGGAAUAUUGCACUAUGGGCGGAAGCCUGAUGCAGCAACGCCGCGUGCGGGAUGACGGCCUUCGGGUUGUAAACCGCUUUCGCCUGUGACGAAGCGUGAGUGACGGUAAUGGGUAAAGAAGCACCGGCUAACUACGUGCCAGCAGCCGCGGUGAUACGUAGGGUGCGAGCGUUGUCCGGAUUUAUUGGGCGUAAAGGGCUCGUAGGUGGUUGAUCGCGUCGGAAGUGUAAUCUUGGGGCUUAACCCUGAGCGUGCUUUCGAUACGGGUUGACUUGAGGAAGGUAGGGGAGAAUGGAAUUCCUGGUGGAGCGGUGGAAUGCGCAGAUAUCAGGAGGAACACCAGUGGCGAAGGCGGUUCUCUGGGCCUUUCCUGACGCUGAGGAGCGAAAGCGUGGGGAGCGAACAGGCUUAGAUACCCUGGUAGUCCACGCUGUAAACGGUGGGUACUAGGUGUGGGGUCCAUUCCACGGGUUCCGUGCCGUAGCUAACGCUUUGAGUACCCCGCCUGGGGAGUACGGCCGCAAGGCUAAAACUCAAAGGAAUUGACGGGGCCCCGCACAAGCGGCGGAGCAUGCGGAUUAAUUCGAUGCAACGCGUAGAACCUUACCUGGGUUUGACAUGGAUCGGGAGCGCUCAGAGAUGGGUGUGCCUCUUUUGGGGUCGGUUCACAGGUGGUGCAUGGCUGUCGUCAGCUCGUGUCGUGAGAUGUUGGGUUAAGUCCCGCAACGAGCGCAACCCUUGUUCACUGUUGCCAGCACGUUAUGGUGGGGACUCAGUGGAGACCGCCGGGGUCAACUCGGAGGAAGGUGGGGAUGACGUCAAGUCAUCAUGCCCCUUAUGUCCAGGGCUUCACGCAUACUACAAUGGCUGGUACAGAGAGUGGCGAGCCUGUGAGGGUGAGCGAAUCUCGGAAAGCCGGCCUCAGUUCGGAUUGGGGUCUGCAACUCGACCUCAUGAAGUCGGAGUCGCUAGUAAUCGCAGAUCAGCAACGCUGCGGUGAAUACGUUCCCGGG